GGUAGAUGGUAGAGAGCUGAGAUUUGAACCUAGGUAGUCUGACUCUGGUGUCUGGGUAUUUACCCAAUGUACCCAAUGCCUCUCAUGUUAAUUGGUUUAUUAUUUUUUUCAAAAUAUCUUUUCCUGCAGUUUUACAAAAUUUUAAGAGGGAGGUAAGUUUGUUUUCUUAGUAGGUAUUUUGGUUUCAUUUUGGCGUAUUCCUCAUGAAUGCCAAGAUUCCACUCUACAAACCACCACAGUUUCAUGGUUAAGAAUGGAACUAAACCAGUCUUAGUGUUGCUUCUUACUAGUUGAGUGAUGUUGUGGAAGUUAUUUAAUAGAGGAUUAGUGUUCUCAUUUUUAAAAGUGGGAUAAUAAUCGUACUUACCACGCGAUUGUUUUAAAGUGAGAUAAUGCAUACAAAGCACUUGGCACAGCAUUUGACACAGAGUAAGAAGGUGGUAUUUAUUGAGCUAUUACCUAACUAAUAAUGAUAGCAUUACUAGAGCUAAUAAUAUAAUAUUAGCAUUAUUUUUAUUUACCAGAAGUGUAUACUUCAGGCCCGCUCAGUCCAGUUCAGAUUCUAAAGCUUACACAGUGGGAGGGAGGGAGAGGCUUAUCUGGCAUAAUGCCCUUUCCUCAGAUUCUAGAAUAUUGGUAAUAACAGGCGUGGGUCCCGGCAUGUCAUUAGAAGAAAGCUGGCAGCAGCCUCACUCUUGUGUGCCUUUCCACCAUCUGAAGCAGAGACAAAGGACACUUAUCCAAAGAGAAAAAUUAGAUUAGGCAAUUUACCAAUUCAUGGAAUUCAUUCAGUUGUUUCUGUCCUUUCCUUUUCAAGUAGCUGUGUCCCUAUCUGCCUCCUACAGGCAGUACCUGGACAGGUCAGCCUGUGUGUCUGCAGAACUCUCUACUGCUGGGGGACCCUGUCCAGGAUCACUGGAUUGAUGUCACUGGAAGUGAAGUAGAAUUAUCAGAGGAAGAGAGGGCGUGAUUGGCAGCUGGGAGGGAGCAGCCAUCAGAGCUAUGCCUCUCUCAUGGAGCACCUGGAGAAAAGAAGAUUCUAGCUUUUCCAGCCCAUGAACAGCCCAGUGCUUAUCUUCCACUGCAUCCAAAAGGGAAGCUGGGGGUGUAGUGGAGGGUGGGCUUCUACUUUUUAAGAAAAUGCAUUUUUUUUUAUUAUAAAUGUAUUGCUUCCUUAGAAAUAAAAAGGUAUGAAAAUGUA